UGAUUGAAGAAGAGUCAGGGAAACUUAAGC
rnacentral:piRNA from 1 species